CAGUCAUGCUCGUGAGGAAUCAACUUGAUGGUGUGUGGGUUCUCUCGCAUACUUUCCGGUGCACUUCCUCGCUCGGCAGGUUAGCAUCAAUUUCGGUUAUCAUAAAAAAUUUGAGGGAAUGUGGCUUUCCUUCGGGAAAGUGUUAUAGACCUCGAUCGAUGUGGUGACCGGGAUUGAGGAUUGCAGCGGAUACCCCUCGUGGCUUGUCACCUGACUUCUGACAGUUGCCUCGCUUUCGACAGCUUGCUAACGUUAGCGGGACUCGAUUGUCUAGGCGUCAGAUUGACUCUAUUUCGC
rnacentral:rRNA from 1 species